ensembl:snRNA U1 U1 spliceosomal RNA
AUACUUCCCUGGCAGGGGAGAUACCAUGAUCGCGGUGGUGGGUUUCCCAGGGCAAGGCUGAUCUGUUGCCGUACUAGUCCGUUUUCACACAGCUAUAAAGAAUGCCCGAGACUGGGUAAUGUAUAAAGA